rnacentral:rRNA from 1 species
AUGAUCAAAGAGAUAAGGAAGCAAAGCGGCGUUUCAUGGGACGACCGGCAGUGCAGGAUUCUAGCGGAUCCACCACUUUGGAAAAACAUCAUCAUAUCACACCCUAAAGCUGGAAAGUUCAAGACAAAAGGCUUCCCUCUUUUUCAAGCUUUGGGAGAAUUGCAUGAUGGCCAAACUGCAGAAGGGACAUAUAACUUCACCUCUAUCGAGUCAUCACAUUGCUCAACCCAAUCAGAUCUCGAGAAUCUUGGAGGAGCUGGCAAGAAUCAAGGAGAAACAUCAGCUGAUGGUGAGAAUCUUGGAGGAGAAAGGGUGCAGAUCGAUGAAGAUGUUGAGGAGAAAUGGAGAAGAGAAAGAACCAAAGAGAAGGAGGGGGCGAAUGGUGAUGUGGCUGCAAUGAUGGAGAAGUACUUGGAAAUAAGGACGAAACAGGUGGACGAUGAGAGGAAUAAGCCAAGGGUCGUGGAUGAGUACUCUAUCAAAAACUGCAUUGAUCUGCUAAAAACAAUGGAGAUCACACUUGAAGAAGAAGUCAAGGCUUUCCGAGUCUUCAAGAUCCCCGAGAACCGAGAGAUUUUCAUGAGUGCCAGACCGGAGACUGCUCUUAUGUGGCUGAGAGCUGAAAUGGAAUAA